UGGGGAAUAUUGGACAAUGGGCGAAAGCCUGAUCCAGCCAUGCCGCGUGUGUGAAGAAGGUCUUCGGAUUGUAAAGCACUUUAAGUUGGGAGGAAGGGCAGUAAGUUAAUACCUUGCUGUUUUGACGUUACCGACAGAAUAAGCACCGGCUAACUCUGUGCCAGCAGCCGCGGUAAUACAGAGGGUGCAAGCGUUAAUCGGAAUUACUGGGCGUAAAGCGCGCGUAGGUGGUUUGUUAAGUUGGAUGUGAAAGCCCCGGGCUCAACCUGGGUACUGCAUCCAAAACUGGCAAGCUAGAGUACGGUAGAGGGUGGUGGAAUUUCCUGUGUAGCGGUGAAAUGCGUAGAUAUAGGAAGGAACACCAGUGGCGAAGGCGACCACCUGGACUGAUACUGACACUGAGGUGCGAAAGCGUGGGGAGCAAACAGG
rnacentral:rRNA from 1 species